UGAAAUAACGCCCAUGUCCAGUUUACAAAAAUCACUUGGUCACAAAAAUCACUAGCUUGUCGUAUAUCUAGAAACUGGUUAUUCGGUUACAUGUCCCGUAGCCAGUUAUUGUAAAUAGUGACGUGAAAUAACGCCCAUACCUAA